AGAGUUUGAUCAUGGCUCAGAUUGAACGCUGGCGGCAGGCUUAACACAUGCAAGUCGAGCGGGGAAAGGUAGCUUGCUACCUGACCUAGCGGCGGACGGGUGAGUAAUGCUUAGGAAUCUGCCUAUUAGUGGGGGACAACAUUCCGAAAGGAAUGCUAAUACCGCAUACGCCCUACGGGGGAAAGCAGGGGAUCUUCGGACCUUGCGCUAAUAGAUGAGCCUAAGUCAGAUUAGCUAGUUGGUGGGGUAAAGGCCUACCAAGGCGACGAUCUGUAGCGGGUCUGAGAGGAUGAUCCGCCACACUGGGACUGAGACACGGCCCAGACUCCUACGGGAGGCAGCAGUGGGGAAUAUUGGACAAUGGGCGAAAGCCUGAUCCAGCCAUGCCGCGUGUGUGAAGAAGGCCUUUUGGUUGUAAAGCACUUUAAGCGAGGAGGAGGCUACUUAGAUUAAUACUCUAGGAUAGUGGACGUUACUCGCAGAAUAAGCACCGGCUAACUCUGUGCCAGCAGCCGCGGUAAUACAGAGGGUGCGAGCGUUAAUCGGAUUUACUGGGCGUAAAGCGUGCGUAGGCGGCUUUUUAAGUCGGAUGUGAAAUCCCUGAGCUUAACUUAGGAAUUGCAUUCGAUACUGGGAAGCUAGAGUAUGGGAGAGGAUGGUAGAAUUCCAGGUGUAGCGGUGAAAUGCGUAGAGAUCUGGAGGAAUACCGAUGGCGAAGGCAGCCAUCUGGCCUAAUACUGACGCUGAGGUACGAAAGCAUGGGGAGCAAACAGGAUUAGAUACCCUGGUAGUCCAUGCCGUAAACGAUGUCUACUAGCCGUUGGGGCCUUUGAGGCUUUAGUGGCGCAGCUAACGCGAUAAGUAGACCGCCUGGGGAGUACGGUCGCAAGACUAAAACUCAAAUGAAUUGACGGG
rnacentral:rRNA from 1 species